CAUAUCUUUUUUCCUAAAUCAGUCUAAUCGCCUAAUUCAAAUUAUAUGGAUCCCUGGACACGUCGGUAUACACGGUAAUGAAAAGGCCGACGGACUCGCCAAAUCUACUUCCAAUACUAUUCUUCCUCUUGCUAAAUUACCUUGGACCGAUUUUACCCCUUUACUUCGCCGUCACAUUACCUGUCUUUGGUCCAACUACUGGAAUAACUUGCCGGCUCACUUUGCUUCCAAAUAUAAAUCUAUUGCUUCCUCCAUCUCUAAUAAAAAAACUUGGUUUUUUAAUUUAGAUCUACCUAGGUCUACCAUAGUCCGUUUUAACCGCCUUCGUGUGGGCCAUUCGCUUCUUCCUGAUCAUGCAUAUAAACUUGGGUUAAAUAAUUCUCCCUUUUGUACACUACAUUUAACCGAAAGCGUCUGUGACAUCUUUCAUUUAUUAUUUGGCUG